UGGUGUGUGUUGAGGUGAUUGUGUUAAUGAUUGUUAGGAUGGGGAUUUUGAAAGUUGUGUUAGUGGUGGCUGCUAUGGUUGCAUUUGAUCUGCCUGAUGUCUUGGGAAGUUUGAGGAACAGUCAUAGUCCGAGAAGCAUGGGGCCAAAAUCAGAUCCAGCUUCCAGAAGUCCUGCCCUUUCUCCUCUAGGGCUCUGGAACCCUUUGCAAGUGGCUUCUCAGUUUCAGAGUCCUCUGGGUCCUGACUCCAAAAGCCUUGCACAGGAUCCUUUUGGCCUUCAGGAGAAGCUGCUGUUGCAGGGUCCAGUGAAGCCUUUGGAUUGGAGGUAUCCCAUCGUUCCAGAGGUGCAGAGCGAGGUGGCGGUGGACUUCCAGUUGAGGCAACCCGUGACUCCCAACAGCGUAGCGGUUCAAUGUGGAGAGAACCGGGUUCUCGUAGAGGUCCAGCAGGACUUCUUCAGCAAUGGUCAGUUGAUCCAGCCAACUGGUCUGUCUUUAGGUGGAUGUCCUGUUGUUGGUCAGGAUCCUGGGGCAAGAGUGCUCAUCUUUGAGUAUGAAUUACAGGACUGCAACAGUGUGCUGAUGAUGAAUGAGGAUGAGCUUGUCUACACCUUCUCUCUUACCUACACCCCUGAGGCGCUUGCAGGUACUCCGAUUACCCGGACCAAUGGUGCAACUGUUGGUGUUCAAUGCCAUUAUCAAAGGCUCCAAAAUGUAAGCAGUGAUGCCUUGAGGCCAACAUGGGUCCCUUAUGCCUCAACAGAGGCUGGUGAAGAAGUCUUGGUGUUCUCCCUGAAGAUCAUGAUGGAUGAUUGGAUAUAUGAGAGGCCUUCAUACUCCUAUUUCCUGGGUGGUGUUAUUAACAUUGAGGCAUCUGUGAAGCAGUACAGUCAUGUGCCUCUGCGUGUGUUUGUGGACCGCUGUGUGGCCACUCAAGUACCUGAUGUGAACUCUCUUCCGAGAUAUUCCUUCAUUGAGAAUCAUGGGUGCUUUGUGGAUGCCAAAACUACAGUUUCCAGCUCCCGCUUCAUGCCUCGGUCCCAACCUGACAAGAUCCAGUUCCAGCUGGAGGCGUUCAUGUUCCAGGAGGGCAACAGUCCUCUAUAUGUACUAUGAAUGAGUUGACUUGACUUCUCCUCCCAUCUUCUUUGGUUUUGUGACCUGUCUUAUCUCUUGCAGAUCUACAUAACAUGUAUCCUGAAGGCAACUAUUGCUUCUGCACCCAGUGAUGCUCAGCGCAAAUCCUGUUCCUUUGCUAACGGGUGGUUUGCUGCUGAUGGAAAUGACCAAGUUUGUGGUUGCUGUGACUCAACAUGUGGUCCUGAUGGUGAAUUUGCUGCUUCUCCCUAUGGAGGCAUUCAGUGGGAAGGAAAGGCCUCACUUGGUCCUGUAAUGGUUCAAGGGCAAAAGAGUUUUCAAUAAAACUGACAAAUCAA